GGUUGUAUAAAAGCUUUCUCAUGCAAGAGCUUUUAUGCACAAGUGAGAACCUGACCAGAAAGGGAGAAAUUUUUUAAACAAAAUUAUGAGAGGCCAUUGUUUUAGACUGAGCUCAUGUGCUAGGCCCCAACAGACCAAACCAAACUGAAAUGGAGUCAUUCAUGCUAAGACAUUAAGGAAACACAUAGAUCUCAGAACAGACCAGGAUUUUUCUCCUGCAAAUCUCUAUAAGAAACAUUCCUGACAGCAUAGGUAUCCACCCCCUGAAGUUUCCCUUAAAUAUUUUAACCAAAUUCAUUUCCUGUCACCUAGAGACCAUCAAGCUUCAGAUGAUCAUGUGAUGAGGGUUACAGCCAGUUCCAAGUAAAGAUAUCACCCCUGGUUAUCAAGAAGCUACCCUGUCUUCACUAGAAAGAGCAGGACAAGAGUUCCAUGAUCCCCAAUAGCUUGCAUCCCACAGAAGAAGCCGACUGGAUUGUGGUGGAUAAGCUCUUUGAUUUGCUGCUGGAUUUGGUUUGCCUGCAUUUUAUUGAAGAUUUUUGAAUCAAUGUCCAUCAUGCAUAAUGGCCUGAACUACCAUCUUUCCCUCUGUCUGCCACUCACUCAACAGAAGUCAGAAGAGAGACUAACUUCCAAGACUCUACCUCCUGCCUAUUCCCUGAUAUCCCUGCUGGCAACUUCUCAUCUGGAAGAUGAAGGAAAGGGGGACCCUGCAAGAACAUCUUAUAUGAUUAUUCUUUUUCAGGAACAACUGGUGCAGGGUGCAACAGUCAUCCAGCAUGUGGAUGACCUUCUCACUUGUUCAGACACAUAUCUACUUUUCAGGAAGAUAUCUAGAUUUACUCAAACAGCCACCGAGAGAUACAAAGCGUCUAAAGACAGACUUCAGCUAUGCCUGCCACAAGUUAAGUAUUUGGGGCAUAUUAUCUCAGUGAAAGGACUUAGUAUUAACCCUGAUAGAGUGAAAGAAAUUUAAUGUUUUCCAAUACCUAUUACUGAAAAACAACUUAGAGAAUUUUUGGAACUGGCUGGCUACUGCAGGAAUUAGAUUCUGCAUUUCUCUCUUAUGGCUCAACCUUUGUAUGCAUACCUAUAAAAAUGAACAAUCUGACUCCAUCAUGUGGACUCCAGAGAGACAAUCAACUGUACAACAAUUAAAGAAAACCCUUCUAAAGUUUCAUCAUAUUCAAAGCCUGUCUGCCAGCUAGCUGGCCUCUUAUAAAGUUUCAUUUUUCAUCUCCAAAUAUUACCAUUUCCUUCUGUAACAAUCUUAAUCUGGGCACUCUCUUGCUGGGCCCUUUUGACAAAACCUCUCAUGACUGUGUUCUUAUGACUGCCCAACUUCCUACCCCAAAGACAGACCUACAGGAGAUGCUACUGGAUAAAGCUGUGAUAGGUUGGGUAUCUAUCUAUAAAUGGGUCUUAUUUAAGAGAAGAGCAUGGAAAUUUUAGAACAGGAUAUGCUACGGUUUUCUUACUAGAGGUAAUUCAAAGCCAGUCAUCUUUCCUAAGCGAGAUCAGCUCAAAUUACCAAAUUGACAGCCCUGACCUGAGCUUGUCAAUUGGCAAAAGACAAGGCUGAGAACAUAUCCACUGACUGUCGCUAUGCAUUUGGGGUUGCUCAUGACAAUCAGAUGCUAUGGAAGAAGAGGGAAUAUUUAACCUAAAGAAAACCCAUUAAAAAAAAAAACAGAAAACAAGUAUCAGUAUCAGAGCUGUUAGGAACUAUUCUAAACCCAGACUUUUGGCAAUUCUAAAAAUCCCAGGUCACUCUAAAUUGGACAUCACUGAAAGUUGGGGUAACCAAUUUACUGAAGCUAACCUGAAAGAGCAGCAUUCGAGCCACCAGUCUCAAUCUGGGAAAUGGCCAUAAAAUCGAAAGCAGUUAAGAACAUGUUGAAGGAAACUCAAAGCAUUGCCCCAACUAAAGAGAUAUCUACUUGGAAACAGAAGGAAGCCUAUCUUCUGAAACUGAAAUAUGGUGUAGACCUAAUAAUAAUCCCAUUACUCCAAUGGGAUGUCAAAUGCCCCUUAUGGAAUAUGUUCAUAAUCUGACCCAUUGGAAUCCAUAUAAAAUGAUAUUCUGGUGUAAACAAUAUUACUGAAAACUGAAACUGAAAUACAGUAUAGACCUAAUAAUAACCACAUUAUUCCAAUGGGAUGUCAAGUGCCCCUUAUGAAAUAUGUUCAUAAUCUGACCCUUUGGAAUCCAUAUAAAAUUAUAUCCUGGUGUAAACAAUAUUACUGAAAACCAUCCUCUAUGACAGCACAAAAUGUUUACUCCCAAUGUGUUAGUUUUCCCAGAUAUAACCCAUGGAAUUUCCUCCAUGGGGCCCAGGGUCAUUUUCCUCUUCCAGCUGACCUUUUGAGGUAUGGCAGCUUGAUUUUACUCAGCUGAC